rnacentral:lncRNA from 10 species
GGAUUUUUCCUUUUGGGAGCCCCUCUCUCUCACACAGGGAGAGAGCUGUUCUCCUUUCUCUUUCUUCUUCCUAUUAAACCUCCACGCCUAAACUCAGUCCUCUUGGGUGUCUAUGUCCUUAAUUUUCUUAGCGAGAGACUACAAACCCGGGGUAUUUACCCCAGACAACUACCCCGCUUCAUAUUGGGAAUCUCAGCCAGGAUCCCAAGAAAACACUUGUCUCUUCUUUGAUGCUGACUCAAAGGUCUGAUCCCCUGCCUGGAAGCUAACCUUGGAUAGAUUCCCAGAAUUGUCUCUUCUACUCCCACAACCAACCUUUUUCAAAGACUUCAGAAGACUGGAUCAACAUUUUUGCCUAUGUUGGAUGACUCACAGAAGCACACACUAUAUAGUAUAGUGAUUUUACAGCCUUUCUUCUAAACCCAGACUCGCUUAGCUAUGUAUUCUUUAAUGGGCCAAGAGUGCUACAACUUCCACUCUGCUCUACUAGCAGCCACGGGCUUGGAUUUCUACCAAUAAUUAAAUUUAUUAAAUGUAAUAGCCUUUAGCAAGCACCAAGUUUAGUUAGCUAAAGCUUAAAAGAAAAGAAUAGCCUACAUAAUAUCCACAGCCAGACUAUAGUGGAAAUAUGUGAUCCCUAGACUCAGCUUCUGGUGUCCCAGUCAUUUUAUGCUAAGGAAUUAGGUUGAAUAUGUGCAGAGCACCUCAGCUCAGGCAAGCCAAUAAGCUCUAGGGUCCCUUUAGCCUUUAAUAACAAGAUAAUCACAUAGCCCUUCCAAUAUAUAUGACUGGGAGUCCAUGACGAGCUUCCAUCUACAAAUGCAGUUGUGUGUCAUCAAAGCUGGUUUUUCCUUAUUUAAUAAACAAUGUUGACAGUG